AGUGAACGCUGGCGGUAGGCCUAACACAUGCAAGUCGAACGGCAGCACAGUAAGAGCUUGCUCUUACGGGUGGCGAGUGGCGGACGGGUGAGGAAUACAUCGGAAUCUACUUUUUCGUGGGGGAUAACGUAGGGAAACUUACGCUAAUACCGCAUACGACCUACGGGUGAAAGCAGGGGAUCUUCGGACCUUGCGCGAUUGAAUGAGCCGAUGUCGGAUUAGCUAGUUGGCGGGGUAAAGGUCCACCAAGGCGACGAUCCGUAGCUGGUCUGAGAGGAUGAUCAGCCACACUGGAACUGAGACACGGUCCAGACUCCUACGGGAGGCAGCAGUGGGGAAUAUUGGACAAUGGGCGCAAGCCUGAUCCAGCCAUACCGCGUGGGUGAAGAAGGCCUUCGGGUUGUAAAGCCCUUUUGUUGGGAAAGAAAAGCAGCAGGUUAAUACCCCGCUGUUCUGACGGUACCCAAAGAAUAAGCACCGGCUAACCUCGUG
rnacentral:rRNA from 1 species